UGCUUUCACAUGCAAGUCGGACGGCAGCACAGAGAAGCUUGCUUCUUGGGUGGCGAGUGGCGAACGGGUGAGUAACAUAUCGGAACGUACCGAGUAGUGGGGGAUAACUAAUCGAAAGAUUAGCUAAUACCGCAUACGUCUUGAGAGAGAAAGCAGGGGAUCUUCGGACCUUGCGCUAUUCGAGCGGCCGAUAUCUGAUUAGCUAGUUGGUGGGGUAAAGGCCUACCAAGGCGACGAUCAGUAGCGGGUCUGAGAGGAUGAUCAGCCACACUGGGACUGAGACACGGCCCAGACUCCUACGGGAGGCAGCAGUGGGGAAUUUUGGACAAUGGGCGCAAGCCUGAUCCAGCCAUGCCGCGUGUCUGAAGAAGGCCUUCGGGUUGUAAAGGACUUUUGUCAGGGAAGAAAAGGUUGGUGCUAAUAUCGCUGACUGAUGACGGUACCUGAAGAAUAAGCACCGGCUAACUACGUGCCAGCAGCCGCGGUAAU
rnacentral:rRNA from 1 species